rnacentral:rRNA from 1 species
UACGUAGGCAGCGAGCGUUGUUCGGAGUUACUGGGCGUAAAGAGUGCGUAGGCGGUUUUCUAAGUUUGGUGUGAAAUCUCCCGGCUUAACUGGGAGGGUGCGCCGAAAACUGGAAGGCUUGAGUAUGGGAGAGGUAAGCGGAAUUCCUGGUGUAGCGGUGAAAUGCGCAGAUAUCAGGAGGAACACCGGUGGCGAAGGCGGGUCUCUGGGCCGAAAUUGACGCUGGAGGAGCGAAAGCGUGGGGGAGCAAACAGG